ACUGCAGUGUUCUCUCCCAGCCUGGAGUCCAACUAAGGAAUCAUUGUGCUUCUGACCGAAUUUACCUUCCAAGCCUCAUUUCAUCUUCCAGAACAGCCUUCAAGUCUGCAGCCAAACCUGUACCUCAUGGCAGGGUAUCAGAAUGGUGCGUGGGUUUGGUUUGAAGCUAAAGAAAGGAGAAAGAGCCAGAGAAGAAGAAAAAAAGAUUCCCUGCAGCCUGCCAGGGACGUGGUAACUGCCCUGCCAAGAGUGAUCCUGGGAGAGCUAUUGAAAGAGCUCUGAGUAAGUACACACUGGGCGGAUUUUCCCUCCCCUUCGUACCUGCUCCGCACCUGUACAGGGAGCAGUCCCACACAUAUCACCUGAUCGCAGCCCUUUCAGAGACCGUGAGAAAAAUAAAGUCCAGCAUAGAAGAGAUGUUUGUCUCUGCAGGGCUGCAGCCAGCUCCCCACGGUCCGGGUGCCCAGAAACAGCACAUUCCUGGCCGGGUGUGCACGCGUGUUUGCCCACACGCGCGUGCUGGGUGGGGGCACCAGCAGGGGAGGGGAGCCGGGCAUCACCUGCGUAAUAACUGCUUUGCUGCCUCCAUUUUUGGGCAUCCUUCCUGUCUGGAAGUUUUGUGAUCCUCUACUAGAAUCAUUAUUAUGGUCCCUCUAGACAAGAGUCUGUGUAUGCUCAUCACAGCUGAAUGCAUCACCAGGAUGUCAGACAUUAGGGUUCAUGGAUGAAACGCCCUGGGGCCUCUGAAGCCCUUGAAAUGGACCUUUAGAAAGAGCUUCUUUUUCCCCCGUGUUUGUCUUUUUAGGGCCUCCUUGGCAUAUGGAAGUUCCCAGGCUAGGGGUGGAAUCCGAGCCACAUCCGUGACCUACACCGCAGCUCACGACAACGCUGGAUCAUCAACCCACUGAGUGAGGCCAGAGAUCAAACCCGAGUUUUCCUGCACACCAGUUAGGUUUGUUACCACUGAGCCGCAACAGGAACUCCCAGGAGCUUUAUGAGUGAAUGAAUAAAUGCAUCAUUCCACCCCCACCUCACCGCCGCCACCCCGGGGGAGAGAGUCUACAGCUUUUAGCAGAAUCUCAAAGUUUUUUGUAACGCAGGAAGGUUGAGGAAGCUGAUCCAGGCAAUCUCGAUGUAUAAGUGGGUACUCUAAGGCCCAGAGAGGGCCAGGGACUGGUUCAGGCAACAUAGGGCAGAGUGGGGGCCAGAAGCCAGCUCGGAGUCCUUUGUACCAUUCCCCAGUGCUGUGGAUCUUGGGAAAUUUAGGGUGGGGUUUAUGGAGUUGGGAUCACCGCUAGAACUUGGAUUUAAAAUAGACACUUUAAUAAAGGUCCUUUGAGUCUCCAG
rnacentral:lncRNA from 1 species